UACGUAGGGUGCGAGCGUUAAUCGGAAUUACUGGGCGUAAAGUGUGCGCAGGCGGCCCCGCAAGUCGAGUGUGAAAUCCCCGAGCUUAACUUGGGAAUGGCGCUCGAAACUACGGGGCUAGAGUGUGGCAGAGGGAGGUGGAAUUCCACGUGUAGCGGUGAAAUGCGUAGAGAUGUGGAGGAACACCAAUGGCGAAGGCAGCCUCCUGGGCCAACACUGACGCUCAUGCACGAAAGCGUGGGGAGCAAACAGG
rnacentral:rRNA from 1 species